GCUGACCUCUUUGCAGCUGGGAGCAUGAAUCUGGUUGAACCCACCGCUCAGAAUGCUCCCCGGCCGUUGAGAGGAUCCCAGUGCUUUUUCUUUCUUUCUUUCUUUCUUUCUUCUUCUUCUUUUUUUUUUUUUUGUUAAUUCUUAGUCCCCUUUCUGUUUGUUUUAGGUGUUCUAAGGGGCCCAGAGUCCUGUGCUGAAGAACAUGGCGUUUGGAGCCAGAUGUUCAUGGAUUUGAAUCCCGACGCCACCCCAACUUAAUGACUGUGACCUAGAAUGAAUUACUUCAUCUCCGUCCACCAAAUAAAAAAAAUCAGUCCUCAGCAAACUGGAGACUUUGCUGUGCUCAUCAGUUUCCUGACCCGGAGGACGAACCCGUGCUAAAGUAUCUUCCCCUUUUGAUUCUCCGAUUCCACAUAACCUCAGCAGAAGUCGUGUCACUGACAGUCCUGCGGGGGACUGCGGUCUUCAUUCUCCCUACAUUUUCAUCAGCGCAAGUGGCGGCAUGUGGCAGCUUUAAAGGAAUACGGCCUCUCUGAGUCAACUGGCCAAGAGGUAGACCUUUCGCAGGGCAGGCUGUGGGACAAGAGAGUCUUAAAACCAGGUCAGAGAGAGGAUUAUGGCUUCUGGCCUCCCACUCACUCAGCCUCUCCGGCUGGCCCAGCUGCCACGGGCCUUCUAGAGACGAACAUCACGGGCACCCACCGAUGCACUCAUCCCACCGCUCCCUCCCCUUUCUCUGACCGGUUCCAUCCAGUGUCUGCCCACGCACCUCCCCCCCCCCCCUAAAUAAAAUAUUACAGAGACCGUUGAA